GUCUUUUAAUUGAGGUCCGGAACGAAAGGUUAGAUGAAAUAUAUUCUUUCUUUAUUUUAUAAAAAAAAUUUUAUUUUUAAGUUAGAAAGCUUAAAUUGUUAUAUAGGACGAGAAGACCCUAUAGAACUUUAUAAAUCUUAUUAUAUUUUGUUUUUGAUUAUUAUAUUAAAUAUAGUAAGAUUUAUUUUGCUGGGGUGGUAGAAAAAAAUUAAUAACUUUUUCUUUUUAAUACAUUUAUUUAUGUUUUUUUGAUCCUUUAAUAUGGAUAAUAAGACUAAGUUACCUUAGGGAUAACAGCGUUAUUAUCAUGGAGAGGCCUUAUCGAUAUGAUAGUUUGCGACCUCGAUGUUGGAUUAAAAUUAGAUUUUGGAGUAAAAGUCAAAAUUCUAGGUCUGUUCGACCUUUGAAAUUUUACA
rnacentral:rRNA from 1 species